rnacentral:tRNA from 1 species
UAAAAGAUAGACUAUGUUAAGCCGCCGGGAUGAUACCCCGAGGAUGGGGUGUAACCUCUCUUUUAA